rnacentral:rRNA from 1 species
CACGCCGUAAACGAUGAGUGCUAGUUGUUGGGGUGCAUGCACCUCAGUGACGCAGCUAACGCGUUAAGCACUCCGCCUGGGGAGUNGCGCAGAACCUUACCAGCCCUUGACAUGGGAACUAUGGGUCCGAGAGAUUGGAUCCUUCACUUCGGGUGGGUUCCACACAGGUGC